AGGUCAUGGGAGACCCCUUGGGACACGCGUGCGUCUCUGGGACCUGAUUCCGCUGCUGCGGCACACCUAGAUUGUGACUCAUACUUCUCCUACGUAUCCCUUGAGUCUUGAGUGCUUAAGACUACUCUAUCAAUAGAACAUGCUGGAAACAACUCUUAAAGGUGAAGAAGCUACUCAAGGGAGACACCAUCUACCUGGUUCUACUUGACAGAUACCCACCCAUAGAUCCCAGCCACCAUGUCGUGAGGAAACUCAACUGAGUGUGCAUCGGAACACCUUGCUGGAGGAGCCUCGAGGCUCCCAGGUGCUUACCACCAACACUGGAUUCCUGAAUGAAACCUGUGAAUUCACUGACAGCAUUUGUGUCGACCACGGAGAUCUCGGUUACCACCAUGCAGGACUGGCUGUGUUUUGUCCCCAAUGUGCCCUGUCCAGACUCCAGACUCACGGACCACGUGAGCAUUAAAAUAUUUCUCUGC
rnacentral:lncRNA from 1 species